ACGAGUUGCAAAACUCCCAACCAUUGUGAACGUUACCAUAUCGUUGCUUCGGCGGGUAGCCCCUUACAGGGCCGCAUCUCCCUUACCGGAGGUAGCCAGCCGGAGGCAUUAAACUCUUAUUUUCUUUGGUAUCUCUGAGUAACUUAUAAAAUAAGUCA
rnacentral:misc_RNA from 1 species